CUGUGCCUCCUUUGUCAACAAAUAUUAUAAUAUAUAAAUAAUACAGAGAAGAUUAGCUUGACCCUGUAAAAUGAUGACCUGAAAAUUUAUGAAGCAUUUCAUAUUUUC